AUUGAACGCUGGCGGCAGGCCUAACACAUGCAAGUCGAGCGGUAGCACAGAGAGCUUGCUCUCGGGUGACGAGCGGCGGACGGGUGAGGAAUGUCUGGGAAACUGCCUGAUGGAUGGGUAUAACUACUGGAAACGGUAGCUAAUACCGCAUAAUGUCGCAAGACCAAAGUGGGGGACCUUCGGGCCUCAUGCCAUCAGAUGUUCCCAGAUGGGAUUAGCUAGUAGGUGGGGUAAUGGCUCACCUAGGCGACGAUCCUUAGCUGGUCUGAGAGGAUGACCAGCCACACUGGAACUGAGACACGGUCCAGACUCCUACGGGAGGCAGCAGUGGGGAAUAUUGCACAAUGGGCGCAAGCCUGAUGCAGCCAUGCCGCGUGUGUGAAGAAGGCCUUCGGGUUGUAAAGCACUUUCAGCGGGGAGGAAGGCGAUAAGGUUAAUAUCCUUGUCGAUUGACGUUACCCGCAGAAGAAGCACCGGCUAACUCCGUGCCAGCCGCCGCCGUAA
rnacentral:rRNA from 1 species